rnacentral:rRNA from 1 species
CCUACGUGAGGCAGCAGUGAGGAAUAUUGGUCAAUGGCCGGAAGGCUGAACCAGCCAUGCCGCGUGAAGGUCAGUGCCCUAUGGGCGGUCAACUUCUUUUGUGCGGGAGCAAUAAUGGUCACGUGUGGCCAGACGAGAGUACCGUACGCAUAAGCAUCGGCUAACUCCGUGCCAGCAGCCGCGGUAAUAUGGGGGAGGCAAGCGUUAUCAGGAUUUAUUGGGUUUAAAGGGUGCGUACGCUGUGAGGUAAGUCAGCGGUGAAAUGCCCCCGCUCAACGGGGUGAAGUGCCAUUGAUACUGCCUUGCGGGAAUGCGGGUGCCGGGGGAGGAAUGUGUGGUGUAGCGGUGAAAUGCAUAGAUAUCACACAGAACACCGAUUGCGAAGGCAUCUCACGAAUCCGCGAUUGACGCUGAUGCACGAAAGCGUGGGUAUCAAACAGGAUUAGAUACCCUUGUAGUC